UCGCUGCUGCUGGUGGGGGAGUUGGAAACCAAGUACCUGCUCAGAUGGAGAUCAUAUCUGAGAGCCACGCCCACCAAAAAUGGCAAGAAAAGUUUUCCAAGAUGGUCUGCUUCCAGUGCCAGGGUGUCUGAUGAGAUGGGAGGAGCAGGGCGACAGCCUUGUGCUGUGGGCAGGUAACAGCCAAGUGAUCUGCGUGGAGCAGAGUACAGCCUGGAGUUGUGCAGAGGUGAGGCCUUGUGGAGAAGCUGCCUGUCUGCUUUCCCUGUUUCACGCCACACAGCAGCCAGAAACAGGACCUCCUCUAUUCUGCCAUCUUUGAUCUCUGGACUGGGAUAGCUACAAGCGUAGACAUGACAAAAGACAUGGCAACAGGAGGGAUACAUUUUGAUGGAGCAAGAUGUCCCAGGCAGCUUCACCACAUAAGGAGGCAGCAGAUGCUCUGAGACCACAUAAGCUCUGAGUUCUUCCCAGGUGAAUUGAAUUGCGUGAUUCCAGAGUCCUGCAUGUCUGUGGUUGGAGGCACAUCAAUUACCAAGAGAUGAGUCACAAGUCCAUGAGCCAAGUGGGAAACACAUGACAGAGGUAGUCUUUCAUCUGAGGAGGAUGGCAAGGCUUCCCUGCGGGACUGAUGGAAGGUCCCCCUCUCCUCAGGACAACCAACUCACUGAGUAACGAUGGUGCAAACAAGCUGAGGGAAAUCCUGAAAAACAGGCUUCCCAAGGGCGGGAGUGGCCUGCCCAAGGGGGUUCUCUUCAACACAUACAAACUUAGGGACCUGAUUUCUUCCCAGAAUGUCGAAGCAGAAUUAAAUGAAUGCUAUC